rnacentral:tRNA from 2 species
GGUAGGGUAUCCAAGUGGCUAAAGGAUGCGGACUGUAAAUCCGCCCGCUCCGGCGUUCGAGGGUUCGAAUCCCUCCCCUACCACCA